GACGAACCGUGCGAACGUUAUUCGGAAUCACUGGGCUUAAAGCGCGUGUAGGCGGGAGGGCACGUCCGUCGCUGAAAUCCCCCGGCUCAACCGGGGAACGGGCGCGGAUACGACCUUCCUGGAGGGGCGUAGGGGGACCUGGAACUUCCGGUGGAGCGGUGAAAUGCGUUGAGAUCGGAAGGAACGCCCGUGGCGAAAGCGAGGUCCUGGACGCCUACUGACGCUGAGACGCGAAAGCUAGGGGAGCAAACGGG
rnacentral:rRNA from 1 species